rnacentral:rRNA from 1 species
AGCGAACGCUGGCGGCAGGCCUAACACAUGCAAGUCGAACGAACUCUUCGGAGUUAGUGGCGGACGGGUGAGUAACACGUGGGAACGUGCCUUUUGGUUCGGAAUAACUCAGGGAAACUUGUGCUAAUACCGAAUGUGCCCUUCGGGGGAAAGAUUUAUCGCCAUUAGAGCGGCCCGCGUCUGAUUAGCUAGUUGGUGAGGUAACGGCUCACCAAGGCGACGAUCAGUAGCUGGUCUGAGAGGAUGACCAGCCACACUGAGACUGAGACACGGCCCAGACUCCUACGGGAGGCAGCAGUGGGGAAUCUUGCGCAAUGGGCGAAAGCCUGACGCAGCCAUGCCGCGUGAAUGAUGAAGGUCUUAGGAUUGUAAAAUUCUUUCACCGGGGACGAUAAUGACGGUACCCGGAGAAGAAGCCCCGGCUAACUUCGU